UGCACUCGGGGCGCCUUAGCAUCCUCUCCCGGAAACUACCUCCCGCCGCGCCUGCGAGGUCCAUCUCCCAGCACCUUCUGUGGGCUGGAGUCUGGCAGGAGAACCAACGGUGGAGCCAUCAGACUGGACAUUUACUGCACAUUUGCUGUGCACCAGGCCCAUGCUGGAUGCUCAUCAUGGGUUACCUCAGGUAACCUUGUGGCAACCCGUUGAGAAGAAAUAAAGGUUCAUUGUGAAAAAUAGAAAACAUGGAGAAAUUGGAACCAUCAUCUACUCCUGGUGGGAAUGUAAAUGGUGCAGACACUGUAGAAGACAGUCUGGCGGUUUCUUAAAAAGUUAAACAGCAUUACCGUAUGAUCCAGCAAUCCUCCUCCUAGGUAUAUACUCAAUAAAAAUGAAAACACUUGUCCAUGCAAAAACAUAUGCAUAAAUGUUCAUAGCAGCAUUAUUCAUAAUA